CUGCCAUACAAUGCCAUCCUCGGGUACCCAGCCCUGGCCAAGUUCAUGGCAGUGACUCACCAUGGCUACAAUGUCCUCAAGAUGCCAGGAAGCGGUGGGGUCAUCAUGGUCCCCUGUGAAGAGAAGGAUGCGGUGUGCUCCCUCAAGAGCGCCUUCCAGGCCGCAUCGAUCGAGGACACGGACAGUAAGAGUGGAAACAUCCCUGGAGCAGCUCCCAAGAAGAAGAAGACAUCACCUGGUUCAAGGCCUCAGGAGGCAGGCACCUCCGGAGGCGCCGCAUCUGGACAUGCGCCCGUCCAA
rnacentral:rRNA from 1 species